CCCUUAGAUGUUCUGGGCUGCACGCGCGCUACACUGACACUAUCAACGAGUGCUCCUGGUUUGAAAGGAUCGGGUAAUCUUUUGAAAUGGUGUCGUGAUGGGGAUAGAUCAUUGCAAUUAUUGAUCUUGAACGAGGAAUUCCUAGUAAAUGUGAGUCAUCAGCUCACGUUGAUUACGUCCCUGCCCUUUGUACACACCGCCCGUCGCUCCUACCGAUUGAGUGAACCGAUGAGUUGUCCGGAUUGCGAUCGACCUCGGUUAAUCGCGAGAAGUUCCGCAAAUCACUUCACUUAGAGGAAGGAGAAGUCGUAACA
rnacentral:rRNA from 1 species